rnacentral:rRNA from 1 species
AUGAACGCUGGCGGCGUGCCUAAUACAUGCCAGUCGAGCGAACAGACGAGGAGCUUGCUCCUCUGACGUUAGCGGCGGACGGGUGAGUAACACGUGGAUAACCUACCUAUAAGACUGGGAUAACUUCGGGAAACCGGAGCUAAUACCGGAUAACAUGUUGAACCGCAUGGUUCAACAGUGAAAGACGGUCUUGCUGUCACUUAUAGAUGGAUCCGCGCCGCAUUAGCUAGUUGGUAAGGUAACGGCUUACCAAGGCAACGAUGCGUAGCCGACCUGAGAGGGUGAUCGGCCACACUGGAACUGAGACACGGUCCAGACUCCUACGGGAGGCAGCAGUAGGGAAUCUUCCGCAAUGGGCGAAAGCCUGACGGAGCAACGCCGCGUGAGUGAAGAAGGUCUUCGGAUCGUAAAACUCUGUUAUUAGGGAAGAACAAAUGUGUAAGUAACUAUGCACGUCCUGACGGUACCUAAUCAGAAAGCCACGGCUAACUACGUG